GGUGCACACCUGUUAAUUGUUGUUCUAAUUGCGCGUUUGCUGCCAUAGGUGUGGCCUUUAAAAGGUCUGUUUGCCUCCUGCUCUGUAACACCCUGAUGAAAGCACGCAGCAGAAACAUGCUGAUGCCUCCCGCUGCUGUCUCUAUGCCAGCCCCAGUCUGUCUCCAGUGACCCAGCCUGAACCAACAGAGCUCUAAUCCCAGGAUCACCUCUUGUCGCUGGGUGACAGAGAGCGGGAUCAGACCUCCUACCACCUCCAGGAAUCUCCAGUCCAGCUCUCACGGCUGGACCACACCACAAAGAGGUGGAGUUUAUUUUCAGGUGCAUGUCUAGCUGGAAUUCCCUUGUACCAUCUGCGAUUGAGUGAGGUCAAAUUUGUACUGAUCUAGGGACAGCUGGCUGGUCUUUAUAGGCCUUGAGGUGGAGACCCUGUUGCAUGUAAAAAGGAGACCCUGUCUGCAAGGUGCAGUGCUUUACAGGGGUCUAAUCCAGCAAUAAAGAAGAGAGAGAAACACUCCUGUGUGGACCCCCAGCUCUGGCAGUCGUGAUCAGCCGUGGUAAGAUGGAUGAGACCCUGAAAACAAGACAAUUUCCUGGUCUAAUCCCAGGUGGAGGCAAAGAAUGGUGACACUGGAGAUACAGCUGUGUAUGUGCUUGUGUGUGUGUGUGUGUGUAUGUGUGUUUACUAGUGUCUUUGUACGGCAUGUUGUUUUAUAGUUGUUGUUUUAUAGUUAGUAUUAAUGCAGACCUUUCAAGGAUUCCCUGUAGUUUACAAACCAGUGGUUAAUUCUUGUUCAUUUUAAUGAAAAUGUCAC